AGAAUCAACGCUGGCGGCGUGCCUAACACAUGCAAGUCGUACGCGAAAGGGGCUUCGGCCCUGAGUAGAGUGGCAAACGGGUGAGUAACACGUGGGUGACCUGCCUUCGAGUGGGGGAUAACGUCCCGAAAGGGACGCUAAUACCGCAUGACAUCCUGCCUUUGGAAAGGCGAGAUUAAAGCCGGGGAUCGCAAGACCUGGCGCUUGAAGAGGGGCCCGCGCCUGAUUAGCUAGUUGGUGGGGUAAUGGCCUACCAAGGCAACGAUCAGUA
rnacentral:rRNA from 1 species